CCUACGGGACGCACCAGUGGGGAAUAUUGCACAAUGGGCGCAAGCCUGAUGCAGCCAUGCCGCGUGUAUGAAGAAGGCCUUCGGGUUGUAAAGUACUUUCAGCGGGGAGGAAGGUGUUGAGGUUAAUAACCUCAGCAAUUGACGUUACCCGCAGAAUGAAGCACCGGCUAACUCCGUGCCAGCAACCGCGGUAAUACGGAGGGUGCAAGCGUUAAUCGGAAUUACUGGGCAUAAAGCGCACGCAGGCGGACUGUCAAGUCGGAUGUGAAAUCCCCGGGCUCAACCUGGGAACUGCAUUCGAAACUGGCAGGCUAGAGUCUUGUAGAGGGGGGUAGAAUUCCAGGUGUAGCGGUGAAAUGCGUAGAGAUCUGGAGGAAUACCGGUGGCGAAGGCGGCCCCCUGGACAAAGACUGACGCUCAGGUGCGAAAGCGUGGGGAGCAAACAGGAUUAGAUACCCCGGUAGUC
rnacentral:rRNA from 1 species